rnacentral:misc_RNA from 1 species
GUAGGUGAACCUGCGGAAGGAUCAUUAACAAAUUCCAAAACUCGUCUUCUUGGGAGCCUCGUGCUUCCAAGUAAGUACAAACACUUACAUUUACUUUACAAUAACAACAAAGGAACAUAACCAAAAGCUUCAUAUUAAAACAACUUUUAACAAUGGAUCUCUUGGCUCUU